GGGGGCAACGGAGUUAACUCCCAACCCAAUGUGAACCAUACCAAACUGUUGCCUCGGCGGGGUCACGCCCCGGGUGCGUCGCAGCCCCGGAACCAGGCGCCCGCCGGAGGGACCAACCAAACUCUUUCUGUAGUCCCCUCGCGGACGUUAUUUCUUACAGCUCUGAGCAAAAAUUCAAAAUGAAUCAAAACUUUCAACAACGGAUCUCUUGGUUCUGGCAUCGAUGAAGAACGCAGCGAAAUGCGAUAAGUAAUGUGAAUUGCAGAAUUCAGUGAAUCAUCGAAUCUUUGAACGCACAUUGCGCCCGCCAGUAUUCUGGCGGGCAUGCCUGUCCGAGCGUCAUUUCAACCCUCGAACCCCUCCGGGGGGUCGGCGUUGGGGAUCGGGAACCCCUAAGACGGGAUCCCGGCCCCGAAAUACAGUGGCGGUCUCGCCGCAGCCUCUCCUGCGCAGUAGUUUGCACAACUCGCACCGGGAGCGCGGCGCGUCCACGUCCGUAAAACACCCAACUUCUGAAAUGUUGACCUCGGAUCAGGUAGGAAUACCCGCUGAACUUAAGCAUAUCAAUAAGCGGGAGGAAGCU
rnacentral:rRNA from 1 species